GCAGGUACAACACUGACAGAAACCAGUACAACUCUGCAUACCAGUAGUGUCACAUCUUCACCAGCAGGUGGCAACACAUCUGGAGUCUCCACCAAAAACACUGAUUCCUCCACCAGCUCAGCUUCAGAUGCCCAAACAGUGACAGUUCGCCUAAAAGUUUCUGUUUUAUCCCGUCAUGAGGAAAAAGAUGUCAUUUUAGAGGCUGUAUCUAAUUUUAUAUCCCAGACCCUUCUCCAUCAGAGCUGUGAGGGCUGCACUAUCACACACAUCAAACCCACCUGAGAAAUGAACCAUGAUUCAGCCAAUGGAGGCAACAGUGUGGCUGCAGCUGUACUCCAACAACAGGCUUCACAACUCUCAGAAACAAAACAAUCGUCUCUUAAAACCGAAUAAGCUAUUAAAGAUAUAAUGCAAUGAUCAGUAAAGCCUUAGGUAAUAAACUGAUAUGACUCCACAUAAUUAUUCAGCACUAUCUGUUAAGAGCUGACUAUUAGAGCAGGCCGAGCAGCCAGAAACAGGUCGGGACAGUGCUAUUUGGCUA